GACGAACGCUGGCGGCGUGCCUAAUACAUGCAAGUAGAACGCAGUUGCGAACGGGUGAGUAACGCGUAGGUAACUGCCUCAUAGCGGGGGGUAACUAUUGGAAACGAUAGCUAAUACCGCAUACUGUGAGAUGGACCUGCGUUGGAUUAGCUAGUUGGUGAGGUAAAGGGUCACCAAGGCGACGAUCCAUAGCCGACCUGAGAGGGUGAACGGGCAAACUGGGACUGAGGAAAGGGCCAGGAGCCCACGGGAGGGAGCAGUAGGGAAUCAUCGGGAAUGGACGGAAGUCUGACCGAGCCACGCCGCGUGAGUGAAGAAGGUUUUCGGAGCGUAAAGCUCUGUUGGUAGGGAAGCGUUAACUACCCAGAAAGGGACGGCUAACUACGUGCCAGCAGCCGCGGUAAUAC
rnacentral:rRNA from 1 species